rnacentral:tRNA from 1 species
UCCUCCAUAGCUCAGUGGUUAGAGCAUCCAACCGGCACCUGGAAGGUCAUGGGUUCAAUUCCUGUUGGGGAGCUCAGAA